rnacentral:tRNA from 1 species
GCAGGGGUGGCAGAGCCUGGUCAAAUGCGCAAAUCUACUGUUAAGAAUAACAUGGAGCGUUUGGUUGAGGGCCUUGUCCCUUAGUGGGUGCGCGUGUUCGAAUCACGUCCCCUGCA